GGGUUAAUAACUACAGUGAAGGGCCUAGCUGUCUGGGCAACCCCACAGAUCAUCUAUAACAGUGUCAUCCACAGAUCCCCCAUCACAGUGCGUCAUCCAUGCUGUGGCCGGCAGCGCCCAUUGCGGGCGGCGGGGUGUCACGCGACACACCCGCGCGGCCGCGACGACGACACACUUGUCGAGGGGUGUCGCGUGACGACGACACACUUGUCACUAAGCGUCGUG